UACGUAGGGUGCGAGCGUUGUCCGGAAUUAUUGGGCGUAAAGGGCUCGUAGGCGGUCUGUUACGUCGGGAGUGAAAACUCAGGGCUCAACCCUGAGCCUGCUUCCGAUACGGGCAGACUAGAGGUAUGCAGGGGAGAAUGGAAUUCCUGGUGUAGCGGUGAAAUGCGUAGAUAUCUGGAGGAACACCGGUGGCGAAGGCGGCAUCCUGGACCAACACUGACACUGAUGAGCGAAAGCCAGGGGAGCAAACGGG
rnacentral:rRNA from 1 species